rnacentral:rRNA from 1 species
GAUGAACGCUGGCGGCGUGCCUAAUACAUGCAAGUCGAGCGAACAGACGAGGAGCUUGCUCCUCUGACGUUAGCGGCGGACGGGUGAGUAACACGUGGAUAACCUACCUAUAAGACUGGGAUAACUUCGGGAAACCGGAGCUAAUAUCGGAUAAUAUAUUGAACCGCAUGGUUCAAUAGUGAAAGACGGAUUUGCUGUCACUUAUAGAUGGAUCCGCGCCGCAUUAGCUAGUUGGUAAGGUAACGGCUUACCAAGGCAACGAUGCGUAGCCGACCUGAGAGGGUGAUCGGCCACACUGGAACUGAGACACGGUCCAGACUCCUACGGGAGGCAGCAGUAGGGAAUCUUCCGCAAUGGGCGAAAGCCUGACGGAGCAACGCCGCGUGAGUGAUGAAGGUCUUCGGAUCGUAAAACUCUGUUAUUAGGGAAGAACAAAUGUGUAAGUAACUAUGCACGUCUUGACGGUACCUAAUCAGAAAGCCACGGCUAACUACGUG